GGAGGAAAAGAAACUAACAAGGAUUCCCCUAGUAACUGCGAGUGAACCGGGAAAAGCUCAAAUUUUGAAUCUGGCGGUCUUCAGGCCGUCCGAGUUGUAAUCUAGAGAAGCGUCUUCCGCGCUGGACCGUGUAUAAGUUUCCUGGAAUGGAACGUCGUAGAGGGUGAGAAUCCCGUCUUUGACACGGACUGCCAGGGCUAUGUGAUGCGCUCUCGACGAGUCGAGUUGUUUGGGAAUGCAGCUCAAAUAGGGUGGUAAAUUCCAUCUAAAGCUAAAUACAGGCGAGAGACCGAUAGCGAACAAGUACCGUGAGGGAAAGAUGAAAAGAACUUUGGAAAGAGAGUUAAACAGUACGUGAAAUUGCUGAAAGGGAAACGCUUGAUGUCAGUCGCGUCGGCCGGGGAUCAGCCUUGCUCUUUUGCUCGGUGUAUUUCCUGGCAGACGGGUCAGCAUCGGUUUUGACCGUCGGAAAAUGGCUGGAGGAAUGUGGCACUCCUCGGAGUGUGUUAUAGACUCUGGUCGAAUACGGCGAUCGGGACUGAGGAACUCAGCACGACCUUAGGGUUCGGGGCUUCGGCUCACGUUAACGUGCUUAGGAUGCUGGCAUAAUGGCCUUAAGCGACCCGU
rnacentral:rRNA from 1 species